rnacentral:tRNA from 1 species
AGCAGGGUGGCGCAGUGGAAGCGUGCUAGGCCCAAAACCCAGAGGUCAAUGGAUCGAAACCUUUUCCUGCUA